AUAGCGUAUAUUAAAGUUGUUGCAGUUAAAAAGCUCGUAGUUGAAUUUUAGGCCCGGUUGGAUGGUCUGCUCUAGGGUUUGUACUGUCCUGACUGGGUCUUCCCUUCUGGUGAGCUGUCGUGCUGUUUAUUCAGUGCGGCAGGGAACCAGGACUUUUACUUUGAAAAAAUUAGAGUGUUUAAAGCAGGCAUUCGCUUGAAUACAUUAGCAUGGAAUAAUAGAAUAGGACUUUGGUUCUAUUUUGUUGGUUUCUAGGACCGAAGUAAUGAUUAAUAGGGAUAGUUGGGGGCAUUAGUAUUUAAUUGUCAGAGGUGAAAUUCUUGGAUUUAUGAAAGACUAACUUCUG
rnacentral:rRNA from 1 species